rnacentral:rRNA from 1 species
GGCUCAGGACGAACGCUGGCGGCGUGCUUCAUACAUGCAAGUCGAACGAGAAAUUCACUUCGGUGGAUGGAAAGUGGCGGACGGGUGAGUAAAAUGUAGAGAAUCUGCCCUAGAGAGGGGGACAACAGAGGGAAACUUCUGCUAAUACCCCAUAUGAGCGUACUUGAGAUAGUAUUCUUGAAAACUCCGGUGCUCUGGGAUGAGUCUGCAUCUGAUUAGCUAGUUGGGGGUGUAAUGGACCACCAAGGCGAUGAUCAGUAGCUGGUUUGAGAGGAUGAUCAGCCACAAUGGGACUGAGACACGGCCCAUACUCCUACGGGAGGCAGCAGUAGGGAAUUUUGCGCAAUGGGGGAAACCCUGACGCCAGCAACGCCGCGUGACCGAUGACGCCCUUCGGGGUGUAAAGGUCUGUCAGUGGGGACGAACGAUGACGGUACCCACAGAGGAAGCACCGGCUAACUCCGUGCCAGCCGCUGC